rnacentral:rRNA from 1 species
GACGAACGCUGGCGGCGUGCUUAACACAUGCAAGUCGAACGGAAAGGCCCUGCUUUUGUGGGGUGCUCGAGUGGCGAACGGGUGAGUAACACGUGAGUAACCUGCCCUUGACUUUGGGAUAACUUCAGGAAACUGGGGCUAAUACCGGAUAGGAGCUCCUGCUGCAUGGUGGGGGUUGGAAAGUUUCGGCGGUUGGGGAUGGACUCGCGGCUUAUCAGCUUGUUUGUGGGGUAGUGGCUUACCAAGGCUUUGACGGGUAGCCGGCCUGAGAGGGUGACCGGCCACCUUGGGACUGCGAUACGGCCCAGACUCCUACGGGAGGCAGCAGUGGAGAAUAUUGCACAAUGGGCGGAAGCCUGAUGCAGCAACGCCGCGUGCGGGAUGACGGCCUUCGGGUUGUAAACCGCUUUCGCCUGUGACGAAGCGUGAGUGACGGUAAUGGGUAAAGAAGCACCGGCUAACUACGUG